GGCUGGGUAGCUCAGUUGGUGAGAGCGUCGGACUCAUAACCCGAAGGCCGUGGGUUCGAACCCCACCCCAGCCA
rnacentral:tRNA from 1 species